UACGUAGGGGACGAGCGUUGUCCGGAUUCAUUGGGCGUAAAGAGCUCGUAGGCGGUUCGAUAAGUCGGGUGUGAAACCUCCAGGCUCAACCUGGAGACGCCACCCGAUACUGUCGUGACUAGAGUCCAGUAGGGGAGCGUGGAAUUCCUGGUGUAGCGGUGAAAUGCGCAGAUAUCAGGAGGAACACCAGCGGCGAAGGCGGCGCUCUGGGCUGGAACUGACGCUGAGGAGCGAAAGCGUGGGGAGCGAACAGG
rnacentral:rRNA from 1 species